rnacentral:rRNA from 1 species
UGUUCCCAUGCCGAACACAGAAGUUAAGCUUCUCCGCGCCGAAAGUAGUUGGUGGGAAACUACCCGCGAGGAUAGGGAGCUGCCACGC